GGUCAGCGAUGAGCAUUGGCAUGUAUUAUCUGAUCUAGAGUCGAUGUCUGUCGCCACUUUAGCUCUAGAAUUACUCUGAGACCCA
rnacentral:snoRNA from 1 species